AAUCAUAGUCCCCUGUGUAGGUUUGCUGUCUGUCAUUUUGGCUUUACCUUUCUCCAAUCCCUCCUUCCUUCCUUCCCCCGUCCAUGUUGAUGUCUUCUUUCCCCAGUCCUCCUCAGACACCAAGUAGAAGUGGCAACCGAUGCACAAGAUGCAAGCAACAAGCAUCGACUGCAAGCUAAACCACUCGUUGCAGAGCCAAAGCCUGAAGGAACAAGCAACAUCACGGUCAAGAUCAGCAUCAAUAGAGAAGAGAAUCGUGUUAGAGUGCUCAAUCCACAUAAAGAAGCCAAAAGUGCAGCUAUCGCAGAUGUUUCAACCCUUAGCAGAGGUAAAAAUACUCUUCUAGUAUCAUCCUGCUUAUCUUCUCUCUUAACAGA
rnacentral:lncRNA from 1 species